GAUGAAGAACGCAGCGAAAUGCGACAAGUAAUGUGAAUUGCAGAAUUCCGCGAAUCAUCGAAUCUUUGAACGCACAUUGCGCCCUCUGGUAUUCCGGAGGGCAUGCCUGUCCGAGCGUCAUUGCUGCCCUCAAGCACGGCUUGUGUGUUGGGCCCCGCCCCCCGAUCCCGGGGGGCGGGCCCGAAAGGCAGCGGCGGCACCGCGUCCGGUCCUCGAGCGUAUGGGGCUUUGUCACCCGCUCUGUAGGCCCGGCCGGCGCUUGCCGAUCAACCAAACUUUUUUCCAGGUUGACCUCGGAUCAGGUAGGGAUACCCGCUGAACUUAAGCAUAUCAAUAAGCGGAGGA
rnacentral:misc_RNA from 1 species